rnacentral:rRNA from 1 species
GAUGAACGCUGGCGGCGUGCCUAAUACAUGCAAGUCGAGCGAACGGACGAGAAGCUUGCUUCUCUGAUGUUAGCGGCGGACGGGUGAGUAACACGUGGAUAACCUACCUAUAAGACUGGGAUAACUUCGGGAAACCGGAGCUAAUACCGGAUAAUAUUUUGAACCGCAUGGUUCAAAAGUGAAAGACGGUCUUGCUGUCACUUAUAGAUGGAUCCGCGCUGCAUUAGCUAGUUGGUAAGGUAACGGCUUACCAAGGCAACGAUGCAUAGCCGACCUGAGAGGGUGAUCGGCCACACUGGAACGGAGACACGGUCCAGACUCCUACGGGAGGCAGCAGUAGGGAAUCUUCCGCAAUGGGCGAAAGCCUGAUGGAGCAACGCCGCGUGAGUGAUGAAGGUCUUCGGAGCGUAAAACUCUGUUAUUAGGGAAGAACAUAUGUGUAAGUAACUGUGCACAUCUUGACGGUACCUAAUCAGAAAGCCACGGCUAACUACGUG